rnacentral:rRNA from 10 species
CCUGGCGGCACUAGCGCGGUGGUCCCACCUGACCCCAUGCCGAACUCAGAAGUGAAACGCCGUAGCGCCGAUGGUAGUGU